rnacentral:misc_RNA from 1 species
GUUUUUCAUUGUCAGUUCUUUGAAGUCCAUAGAUAUGUUCUAAUAUGUGUCAAAAUUUUAUCUAGUAGACUAAUACUGUCAAAUUUUAUAGCUUAUAUGAGUUCAAAUAAACCACUUAGAAGAAGAUGAAAAACAAAUGGAAAAUAAGAAUUGAUUCAUGCCGAAAAGCAGUGGGAUAUGCUCAACAAUUUCUUGUCUUGUCUCAAGUUGGGAUCAAUUCUGAUAGCUUGUCAGUUUCUCUAGAUCCCUUUUCUAUAGUAAUCUCAAGGAAAUUUUUGUAAAGAUUAAGUUAAUGGCAUUUAUUUAUGUGCUUCAUUAAAUUCAUUCUGAAAUUCAUUUGAACUAAACAAACUAUGAAAGAGAAGUCAAAAUUUUUAGCAGCUGCUUUUUUAAAUUUUUCUUAGUGAUGUGUCAAUCAGUCCACCUUAAGCAUAUGGCAUGGUAAAGGAGUGCCAUCUAUGUUUUAUUUAUCACAAAUCAAAGAUGCAAGUUUAAUUCUUAUUCUUUUACCAUGAGCUUAUAUGAUGGUGUGCCUUUUUCUAUUGAUGUAAUUGGUCUCAAGUCUUCCAAACUUCAUUUUUGUGAGACAAGUUUACCUGAAAAAUGAGCAUUUUGUAUUUAUAUGGUUCAUUGCAAAUAGUUGCCACUGGUGGUCCAAAAUGUUGCAAAUAAUUGAAAUUCCAAUUCAGAUUUUUUUGUUUUUGUUCCAAUUAUAAAUCAUUUUGUCCCAAUGGGUUACGUAUAUAUUUAAACACAGAGAUUUAAACGACAUACGAUGUAUAGUGUUUGUGGAAAGGG